CCGGCCCUCACCCGGUGGCGGAUCUCGCUGGGGCCUCCAAAGUGUCAUAACCGAGAGAGUUAUAGAGAAACACCACACUCCGAGACUACUUCAGGAGUCCUUUAUUGC
rnacentral:pre_miRNA from 1 species